CGAUCUUCAUUUUUCUAGCGACCAUCUUGCUUUUAAGUGAGUUUUGAAAAUAUUACCUGACUUUAUUAUUAAUGUUUUUUCUUCAAAUUUAUGAAAAUAUUUUGGAAAUUAUCAGUGGAUUUGUUUUUGUUUAAUUUAUUUAUUACGAUUUGGGAAAAAAAAAAGGCUGAUGAGGAGAAGAAAUGGGCAAGAGCUGCAACAACAAAUAAAGCGCACCGUGUAGAUCCAUCUACAUGGGUUGUUGUUUGCUUUGAUGAAUGUGCCAAUAUGCUAAUCUGAGGCUUUUCCUUAUUUAUUUUCAACUAUUAUUCUCCUUCGAAGUUGUUCUUCCCCUAAAUUUAUCAAUUUCUUUUAAAAUACUCUGAUUUACAUUUUUUUUUUUGGGUCGACUUGCUAUUAUUUUAUGUUAUUUUUCCACAUUUUGUCAACUUGGAAAUGAUUUUAUUACAAC
rnacentral:lncRNA from 1 species